rnacentral:Y_RNA from 1 species
GGCUGGUCUGAAGGUGGCGAGUUAUCUCAUGUGAUUGUUCACAGUCAGUUACAGAUUGAACUCCUUGUUCUACUACUUCCCUCCCUCUCGCUACUGCACUUGCCUAGUCUAAA